AAAACAAUUAUGUAUUUGAUUGGUUUUAUACUUUUAUAUGUUAUGUGUAGUACUUCUAUUCGUAUAUUAUAACGAUAUCCGGAUACAGCGCGAUGUUAUUUAAAACGAAAAUUGGUUUUUUCAAUCGUCUAUAACAAUUAAUAAUAUAGGUACAUUUAGCCAUGUAGGUAUAGGUACUUGUAAACAUGUAGUAAAUUUGGUUUCGUUCGAAGCGAUAAUUCCAAGGUGGAUUUUUGUGAACCUUGGAUAAUUCUUAAUCUUAUCUAGCAGUAACAGAUAAUAUGUCUUGUACGGCCGUAUUGUAUUAUAAUACGGCAUAUACCUACGUUUCUUAUAGUUACCGUUUUUAUUACUAAUUACUAUAAUACUAUCCGUCAAUUUCGAAAAUAUAUUUUUAUAUUGAUCAGGUGCGUGUAUAUAGUAUUCGCGGAAGUAUUGCGAAAGCUGUUUCCGCGGCGCCGUCUAUUUCAAAUGUAGAAAAUAAAAGGUACACGAUGGAUGGUAUGUAUUUUGCUUGCACCGCACGGAACCCAUCACAACAUUCGAUCAAAAGAACAAUAACCUAUAAGUUUGUAUUUUAUAGUCAAAAUAUUUGUACAAAUACAACCCAAAACGCUAUAUUAUAGGACAUAUAUUAUACGUAGGUAAAUUGCACAAUAUAUACAAUAAAUAUUGCAGAUAUUGAUGAAGAAGAAGCCAUCCCCUAAAAAAAAAAAAAAAAAACAAAAAAAACCUAACAUUUCAAAAAGUAUAUACCUGCAGCUAUAUGAAGUUACAAUGAUAACGCGUGUGGGUAAAAAAUGCGCCCUGCAGUGCUGGUUUAACGGAUAUAUUAUUGUUACUACUCCGGUGCCACGAUUUUAAAUGGCCAAGCGGGUAAUUCUAUAUGGGACCGUUAAACGCACCUAAACCCAACAUACCGCCUACGCACAAAACGUAUGAUAU